UACGAAGGGGGCUAGCGUUGUUCGGAUUUACUGGGCGUAAAGCGCACGUAGGCGGAUCGUUAAGUCGGGGGUGAAAUCCUGGAGCUCAACUCCAGAACUGCCUUCGAUACUGGAAGACUUGAGUCCGGGAGAGGUGAGCGGAACUGCGAGUGUAGAGGUGAAAUUCGUAGAUAUCCGCAAGAACACCAGUGGCGAAGGCGGCUCACUGGCCCGGUACUGACGCUGAGGUGCGAAAGCGUGGGGAGCAAACAGG
rnacentral:rRNA from 1 species